UCCUCCAGACCCGAGCUGUCCAUCCCAGCCCUUUCCCCUGCCCUGUGUGCAUUCAUCCAGCCCUUGGCAAGCUCCACAGAAAUUUCCUCUUUCAACAGGGAAACAGAACAGAGCAAUCCCUCUGAGAGGAACAAGCCAAUUUCUUCAGGAAGGUCCACAGAAGUUUUCAAAGCUGGAAGAAAUGCAGUUUUCCUGCUGUGAGGUUUGGUACCGAUGCUGCUGGAGGGAUGAGUCAUUGUUUCUUUCAUAUAUAUCAUCCGAGUACCUAUAACUGUCUCUCAUCUAAAUGUUAAUUGUAUCCAACAGAAUGACUUCAAAUGAAUACUCUGUCAAUAACACUGUUAUUAAUGUUCCUUGAUAGGCAUGGUUGGAAUAUUUUGUAAGAUUAGUCUAAUAUUUCUUACAGAAUCUGCUUCAUGUGUUGUGUUAUUGCGUCUACUUUGGAUCAAAACCUGCUCGUAAAGCCUUGGGUAGCUUUUUUUACUCUCCUCUCAAGAAUUCCCACAUCACCAAGUUUUGAUAGGAACCAUUUUACUACAGGCACAGCAGUGAUCCUCAUUCCUCUGGACCACAAGCAUAAGUUUAGGUGUUAAAUUGAUAUUUUUUGAUUGCUCAGCAGGGCGUUUUAUUGCCUUCACUCGGUGCAGCUGGUACUGUAGGAGCUGAUGGCAUUAGGGGGGACAGAGUUAAGCUUGCUUUAGCCAUGUGAAUAUUCUGAUUUAUGCCAACUCCACCUCUGCCUCUCCAAGCGACCAUGACAGGAAUAAUUUGGCAGCAAUUCCUCGCUGUUGGCCGCUCACCUGCCUGAGACAAAGCGAGGCAGAGAGGAGAGCCCAGGUGUUUGACUGGAAAGGGAGACAGAACAGCUUUUCCGUGGUGCCCCGGGUGCAUCCCUGCCUGGAUCCAGGGGAGCAGCAGCAGUGCCAGGAACACCUGAGCAACAGAUUUAGGCCUUUUGUUUCUUCUCCUCCAGACAUCUGUCCUCUGCCUGGGCUGCUGUUCCAAGAACAGAUAUCCCACCUCAGUGUGCAUAAAAGCAGCAAGUAAAUCUGCUCCUUCCCAGGCAAACCUUAAGGAUUUCACUGACAUCUUUAAUUAAACCAGCAAAUAGGAGGAAACUGAUGUUCCCAGGGAUGAAAAGGUUGCAUGCAAAAGCAGGAUCCAAAAAAUCCUGCUCUCAGCUCUGUGGAAGAAGGAUUUAUGAUGCUCAACUAGCAAAGAUAGCAAUUAGCUGGAAUACUCAAGAGCAGA